GAUGAAGAGCGUAGCGAAAUGCGAUACGUAAUGUGAAUUGCAGAAUUCAGUGAAUCAUCGAAUCUUUGAACGCAUAUUGCGCUCUCUGGUAUUCCGGAGAGCAUGCUUGUUUGAGUAUCAGUAAACACCUCAACUUCCAUAUCUUUUUUGAAAUGGGAGUUGGACUUGAGUGAUCCCAACGCUUUUCCUCACCGAAAAGUGGCGGGUUACUUGAAAUGCAGGUGCAGCUGGACUUUUCUCUGAGCUAUAAGCAUAUCUAUUUAGUCUGCCUAAAAAACAGAUUAUUACCUUUGCUGCAGCUAACAUAAAGGAGAUUAGUUCUUGUGCUGACUGAUGCAGGAUUCACAAAGACAGGCUUCGGCCGACUUUGUAAACUCGAUCUCAAAUCAAGUAAGACUACCCGCUGAACUUAAGCAUAUCAAUAAGCGGAGGA
rnacentral:misc_RNA from 1 species